rnacentral:rRNA from 3 species
CUGCAUGGAGCCGACCUUGAAAUACCACCCUUUAAUGUUUGAUGUUCUAACGUGGACCCGUGAUCCGGGUUGCGGACAGUGUCUGGUGGGUAGUUUGACUGGGGCGGUCUCCUCCUAAAGAGUAACGGAGGAGCACGAAGGUUGGCUAAUCCUGGUCGGACAUCAGGAGGUUAGUGCAAUGGCAUAAGCCAGCUUGACUGCGAGCGUGACGGCGCGAGCAGGUGCGAAAGCAGGUCAUAGUGAUCCGGUGGUUCUGAAUGGAAGGGCCAUCGCUCAACGGAUAAAAGGUACUCCGGGGAUAACAGGCUGAUACCGCCCAAGAGUUCAUAUCGACGGCGGUGUUUGGCACCUCGAUGUCGGCUCAUCACAUCCUGGGGCUGAAGUAGGUCCCAAGGGUAUGGCUGUUCGCCAUUUAAAGUGGUACGCGAGCUGGGUUUAGAACGUCGUGAGACAGUUCGGUCCCUAUCUGCCGUGGGCGCUGGAGAACUGAGGGGGGCUGCUCCUAGUACGAGAGGACCGGAGUGGACGCAUCACUGGUGUUCGGGUUGUCAUGCCAAUGGCACUGCCCGGUAGCUAAAUGCGGAAGAGAUAAGUGCUGAAAGCAUCUAAGCACGAAACUUGCCCCGAGAUGAGUUCUCCCUGAGACUUUAGGUCUCCUGAAGGAACGUUGAAGACGACGACGUUGAUAGGCCGGGUGUGUAAGCGCAGCGAUGCGUUGAGCUAACCGGUACUAAUGAACCGUGAGGCUUAACCUUACA